rnacentral:rRNA from 1 species
GAUGAACGCUAGCGAUAGGCUUAACACAUGCAAGUCGAGGGGCAGCAUGAUCUUAGCUUGCUAAGGUCGAUGGCGACCGGCGCACGGGUGCGUAACGCGUAUGCAACUUGCCUUACAGAGGGGGAUAACCCGUUGAAAGACGGACUAAAACCGCAUACACUUGUAUUAUUGCAUGAUAUUACAAGGAAAUAUUUAUAGCUGUAAGAUAGGCAUGCGUCCCAUUAGCUGGUUGGUGAGGUAACGGCUCACCAAGGCGACGAUGGGUAGGGGAACUGAGAGGUUUAUCCCCCACACUGGUACUGAGACACGGACCAGACUCCUACGGGAGGCAGCAGUGAGGAAUAUUGGUCAAUGGGCGAGAGCCUGAACCAGCCAAGUCGCGUGAAGGAAGACAGUCCUAUGGAUUGUAAACUUCUUUUAUACGGGAAUAACGGGCGAUACGAGUAUUGCAUUGAAUGUACCGUAAGAAUAAGCAUCGGCUAUCC